rnacentral:rRNA from 1 species
UGAGGAAUAUUGGACAAUGGAUGGAAAUCUGAUCCAGCCAUGCCGCGUGCAGGAAGACGGCCCUAUGGGUUGUAAACUGCUUUUGUAUGGGAGCAAUAAGGUCUAUGCGUAGACUGAUGAGAGUACCAUACGAAUACGCAUCGGCUAACUCCGUGCCAGCAGCCGGGGUAAUACGGGGGAUGCAAGCGUUAUCCGGAUUUAGUGGGUUUAAAGGGUGCGUAGGCGGGUUGAUAAGUCAGCGGUGAAAUAUUUCAGCUUAACUGAAAGGGUGCCGUUGAUACUGUCAGGCUUGAAGAUGGUUGCUGUGGGUGGAAUGUGUGGUGUAGCGGUGAAAUGCUUAGAUAUCAGACAGAAUAUCGAUUGCGAAGGCAGCCCACAAAGCCAUUAUUGACGCUGAUGCACGAAAGUGUGGGGAUCAAACA